GAUGAACGCUGGCGGCGUGCCUAAUACAUGCGAGUCGAGCGAACGGACGAGAAGCUUGCUUCUCUGAUGUUAGCGGCGGACGGGUGAGUAACACGUGGAUAACCUACCUAUAAGACUGGGAUAACUUCGGGAAACCGGAGCUAAUACCGGAUAAUAUUUUGAACCGCAUGGUUCAAAAGUGAAAGACGGUCUUGCUGUCACUUAUAGAUGGAUCCGCGCUGCAUUAGCUAGUUGGUAAGGUAACGGCUUACCAAGGCAACGAUGCAUAGCCGACCUGAGAGGGUGAUCGGCCACACUGGAACUGAGACACGGUCCAGACUCCUACGGGAGGCAGCAGUAGGGAAUCUUCCGCAAUGGGCGAAAGCCUGACGGAGCAACGCCGCGUGAGUGAUGAAGGUCUUCGGAUCGUAAAACUCUGUUAUUAGGGAAGAACAUAUGUGUAAGUAACUGUGCACAUCUUGACGGUACCUAAUCAGAAAGCCGCGGCUAACUACGUG
rnacentral:rRNA from 1 species